GUCCCUAUGAGAAAACCGUAUUAGUCCGCGGGAAGUUUUCUUUGGGGUUGCAGAAAUUUGGUUUACGGAGCUCGGCUUGGGAAAUGUCUUCAAUGCAUCAGGUAUCCACCUCUUUAUCUGAUGUGAUCCACUAUUAUCCAGUAUUAUCACCCAGCUUCUCUAACCUCAUCUACCAAACAAUUUGUGCUUUCUUGUCAUUGGUAGGGCACUGUGCUAGUCAGAGGAAGAGAACAAAAUAAGCUGUCCCCACCUUGUUGGAUGGUAGUGGCCCACGGAGGAGACCGUCAUUAAACCAGGAACACAAGUAAUCCUGUAAUUUGUGCCAAGAACCUUGAAAGUGAGAAUUUAAGAGGGUGGAACAGGGAAAUCUACAUUCGGUAAGGGGAGCAGAAGACCUGUCUGACAAGCAGAUGGUUAUGCUGGAGCUUUGCCAUUUUAGGACUCUUUCCGGUACAAGUGCAGAAAUCCAAUCCAAGAGAGCUUAAGCCAAAAACGGAAAACUGCUGUGUAUAAGUAACUCAAGAGCCUUGGAUGGGGCUCAGGGGAGGGAGCAUCAGGAGUGACUGUUUGUGGGGACACAAAAAUGUUUGGGAACUAGACAGAGGUGCUGGUUGUACAACACUGGAAAUGUACUAAGUGCCACUGAUCUGUACGCUUCAAAAUGGUUACUUUUAUGUGACAUACAUUUCACCUCAAUUUAAAAAAAAAAAAGUGCCUGUGAUUCUACGGCGAGGAUCCCAGAUCAUUAGGAACGGCCUCUGUGGGUGAAGUAGUUAGUAACAUCCAGCGGGAGAAGGACAGAUGUGUUCUGACCCUGUUCACCAAGGUUCCUUAAUGCUCCGAUGGCACUCUAAGUCAGAUACGGGAAUGAUGCACCCGCAGUCUCCUGACAUGACCCGCAAAAACCGUCCAGAACCAUCUAGUUACCACCUUCUGUGUAUGGAAGUCACGGUGUUUGCUGAUCUUUGGUGGGUAGCUUCAUCUGUGAUCUGUGCCUGGCUGACACAUUACAACCUUGGGACCAGACGGUGACAACCCACAAAUCUUGGUGUGUGCAAGUAGCUUCCUGUGGGGUUCCCUGUUGAUGGCAGGGGUUAAGGAUAUGGUGAGUGGGCAUGGGUACCCAUUCUCAUUUCCUUCUAAGUGUGCCUGCUGGGGCUGGAACGCUGACUACUGCAUUUCCCAGGCUUCCUUGCUUCUAGGGUUCUGGAAUCAAAUUAGGCCCUCCAGUUAGAUGCACUUGGGUAAGAUUUGGCAGACAGAGGAGAAGAGGGCACAUCUUCCUGAUGCUUUGCAUAUUGUGCCAGCAAAAGCACUGUGUGUCUCUUUUGUUUGUUUGGUUUUGUUUUUUGUUUUUUUGGGUUUUUUGUAGGCCGUCCAAUGCCCAGCACCAGAUCCAUAAAUGAGCAUAACACUUGGAAAUAGAGGCACCUGGGUGGCUCAGUCGGUUAAGCUUCCAACUCUUGAUUUCGGCUCGGGUCGUGAUCUCAGUUUGUGGGAUCCAGCCCCAUGUUGGGCUCUGUGCUGACAGCUCAGAGUCUGCUUGGCAUCCUCUCUCUCCUCUCUCUGCUCCUCCCCAGCUUAUGCUCUCUCUGUCUCUCAAAAUAAAUAAACAUUAAAAAAAAAGUGGAAAUAAAGCAAAUUCACAUUUUUGUCACCUGUCCUUCAUGUUGCCAUCUCUACCUGGAAAGAACCUAAAGGGGACAGGACACAAGGAUCAGCAUCUUGGCACAGUGAUUCAGGAAGGCAUGGCUGCUGCUAGGACUGUUGUCACCUAAGUGGGUGACACCUGGCCCAGACCUUCUAAGAAUGGGCUGACCAUUUGGAAAGGAAGUCCUUGAAUGAACACCACGGCCGGGCCUGUGUGCAUUGGCUAUUGUAAAGGGCUAGGUUUGGGAUGGGAGCUAGGGACAGGUGGCAAGAUGAGAUGGAGAUAAAGCCCAGAGUGCCACGAGCCAGGAUCCAAGAAAAGAGCUUCCCCAGGAUUUGCACGAGAGAGAGACCAGACAAUGGAGAAUUAAGAAAAGCCUGGAAAGGCAGGAUGCCUGCCAAGACGGGAGCCCAUCCCUGUGUUCUCAUUUGCAUCCACCCUGGUAGUGAGUAGAAAAGAGCCACCGCUCACCUGGUCAAGGGGAGGGAUCCUGGCCAAAGACGUCCUGGUGAAUCAGUUACUGCAGGGGCACAGCGGAUGUUCCCCCAUCGUUUUUGGACUCUCCGGGGUCUCAGUAGGAGGCAGUGCCUAUGUCCCACUAUAGAUGCCAAAGGGGCCAGGGAUUCUCAACCUCCUGGCAGCUGGAAAACGCCCCUGACCCAAUCUCAGCCAAUCACAUGCUUCCUCCCACCUGGAACUUUGAAUCUUCGGGGAAUAAUGCGAAUACAGAGGGUGUAUUGAGAAAUUACUCUGGCAGCUGCAGCUGCUGGUCAUCCCAACUGGAGGGUUCCUGGGGCAGAACCUUGGCUGUGUCUCCACUGCCGAGCCCACCUUGAUCUCGCUCUUGGAGACCCCAGGUACUUGCUGCUUUUCUGCUCAGCCAUUCUCAGCAUGUGGCUGCCACCCUCAAAGUGACUUCAUUGUCUCAAGAUGACAGCUGAGCUCUACCCAUCACAUCGGCAUUUCAGGUACAAGAAAAGGAGAAUCAAAGGGCAAAAAGGCACGCCUUCCAGCUGAGUCAGGCCCUUUUUUUUUUUUUUUAAUUUUUUUUUUUCAACGUUUAUUUAUUUUUGGGACAGAGAGAGACAGAGCAUGA